UACGAAGGUGGCAAGCGUUACUCGGAAUUACUAGGCGUAAAGGGCAGGUAGGUGGUUUGAUAAGUCUGUUGUGUAAGCUCCUGGCUUAACUGGGAGAGGUCAACGGAUACUGUUAAGCUUGAGUGUAGGAGAGGGUACUGGAAUUCCCGGUGUAGCGGUGAAAUGCGCAGAUAUCGGGAGGAACACCAAUGGCGAAAGCAGGUACCUGGACUAUUGCUGACACUAAACUGCGAAAGCUAGGGGAGCAAACAGG
rnacentral:rRNA from 1 species